rnacentral:rRNA from 1 species
AUGUGGCGCAGAUUGGUUCCUAGGGUAGAUGCGGGUGAUAUUUUGGGUGGCGGAAUCGAUGUUGUGGAGUCUGUGGUUGCUUCAAUCAAUGAAGCUCGCGGGCGAUCCUCUCAUCUGAUUUUUUCCGAAUCCAUCGAUGGCGGUAGCGGCAAGGAGCAGCUCCGAGGGGUGGACGGGAGUGAGGUCUUUGGUGACUCUAACGAUAUGGCGGCUCAGAAUACGGCCAUUGCAUCCAUGGGAGAGGAGGGGGAUGCAGAGGGUGUGGUCGUCAACAACUCAAAAGGCUCCUGGACUCGACGUGUUAGGAUUGGCAACGCGUCUGAAGAGAGGGAUGCCAACCCAAGCAGAGUCCCUGCCCUUGAGGCUUCAAUGCGAGCUUGUGCAGACACCAAGACCAGCACUGUUGUUAAUCCGGCGCUCGGAACUAGCUUUGACACAGUUGAAGAAGCAUAUGAGUUUUACAACCUAUACUCCUGGGAGACUGGCUUUGGCGUCAGGUAUGCCAAAAGCAGGCUGAAUGUCCAUAAAAAAUGCAUCCAAGAGUUUGUGUGCGCAUGUGCGGGCAGGCCAUUGCAGUCAAACAGUCGACAAGGUGUGGAUGUGCUGCGUUGA